UUGGAGUCAGUUUAAGAUUACGGAACCCCCUUGUGUGCAGUUCUACCCAGAUAGUGAACUUACAAUGUUUCAAUUUUCGGAAAAUGAAGUGAUAAAUAUCCCAGAGUUCCUCUGUCAUUCCCAGAAUACCGAACGGUUUGUGCGUGUUGUUAGUGAGUCUGCAAGUGCUGUCACUGAUGAAAAGCGCCUGGGCCACAUUUUU